CUCCUUUGACGUUAGCGGCGGACGGGUGAGUAACACGUGGGUAACCUACCUAUAAGACUGGGAUGACUUCGGGAAACCGGAGCUAAUACCGGAUAAUAUUUCGAACCGCAUGGUUCGAUAGUGAAAGGUGGUUUUGCUAUCACUUAUAGAUGGACCCGCGCCGUAUUAGCUAGUUGGUAAGGUAACGGCUUACCAAGGCGACGAUACGUAGCCGACCUGAGAGGGUGAUCGGCCACACUGGAACUGAGACACGGUCCAGACUCCUACGGGAGGCAGCAGGU
rnacentral:rRNA from 1 species